rnacentral:antisense_RNA from 1 species
AUCAUUCUCAUAAAUAUUUAGGUCAUUAUUUUUCUUUGUCUUGUUUUGA